rnacentral:rRNA from 1 species
CAGCAGCCGCGGGAAUACGUAGGUGGCAAGCGUUGUCCGGAAUUAUUGGGCGUAAAGGGCUCGCAGGCGGUUUCUUAAGUCUGAUGUGAAAGCCCCCGGCUCAACCGGGGAGGGUCAUUGGAAACUGGGAAACUUGAGUGCAGAAGAGGAGAGUGGAAUUCCACGUGUAGCGGUGAAAUGCGUAGAGGUGUGGAGGAACACCAGUGGCGAAGGCGACUCUCUGGUCUGUAACUGACGCUGAGGAGCGAAAGCGUGGGGAGCGAACAGGAUUAGAUACCCGAGUAGUCCCUGUCUCUUAUAC